rnacentral:lncRNA from 1 species
UUUCUUUCUUCUUCUUCUCCUUCUUUUUUUUUAUCAAUGAGUUAAAGAUUGGUGGUUAGCAUUGAUUAGGGAGGUUUAAUCUUCCUUGAUUCAAAUCUAAUUCAUCUUGAUCAUGGAUCAAGUGAAUGGAUUUGCAUUAAGGAUAGAUUGUUUUUUAAAUCAUGCAAAGGACCUAAAUCAAUACAAGAUCAUUUCUCAUCUUCUCUUUGGCAUGGCAAGUUGUUGGAGUUUGAUUCAUUAAUCAAGACCUCUAACUUGUGUUGUUGCCUAC